rnacentral:rRNA from 1 species
GACGAACGCUGGCGGCGUGCUUAACACAUGCAAGUCGAGCGGUAAGGCCCUUUCGGGGGUACACGAGCGGCGAACGGGUGAGUAACACGUGGGUGACCUGCCCUUAGCUCUGGGAUAAGCCUGGGAAACUGGGUCUAAUACCGGAUAUGACCCCAUAACGCAUGUUGUGGGGUGGAAAGCCUUGUGCGGCUAGGGAUGGGCCCGCGGCCUAUCAGCUUGUUGGUGGGGUGAUGGCCUACCAAGGCGACGACGGGUAGCCGGCCUGAGAGGGCGACCGGCCACACUGGGACUGAGACACGGCCCACGACUCCUACGGGAGGGCAGCAGUGGGGAAUCUUGCGCAAUGGGCGAAAGCCUGACGCUGCGACGCCGCGU